CUGGCUCACGUUCAUAUGCUAGGGUUGCCGAUAUAUUGAAAGAAAAGAACGGAGAUGCAUCUUACAUUGAUGUUCUUUGUGAGACACACAAGAAAUCAGACGGGUCAUUUGUGGAUGAAAGGGCAAGGCUAAUUAGUGAAGGAUUUGAAAAAAAUGUAGCUGAUCAUAUGCUUGAAGAUGAUAUCCUAGUCACAGAAGAGCUAACUUCUGAGAAGAAGAAUCAAAUGUAUUUGAAGUUGGUUGAUUCAACACAAGGUCGUGUGUUUGGUCUUGGAGCUCUUCUUAGUGAGGUUUCACUCAAUGCUAAAAUGCCAGUCACCAUUGAAGCCACUUAGAAAAUGAUGAGUUGAAGAAAAAUGUACAAGACAUUUCUCAAGAAAAUGAAGAUAUCAAAGAAAGGUUGAGCAAACUUGAAGGCUUGGAGAAAAUGAUUGCCAUCCUUUGUCCAGCUAUUCUAUCCAGGGUGCCAACAACCAAGUUUAAAUUGGUUGGUUUUGUUAUUCGAAGGUUUUAUUAGUUUUUUCUAGUUUUAAAUUAU